rnacentral:rRNA from 1 species
UACGUAGGGUGCGAGCGUUGUCCGGAAUUACUGGGCGUAAAGAGCUCGUAGGUGGUUUGUCGCGUUGUUCGUGAAAACCGGGGGCUUAACCCUCGGCGUGCGGGCGAUACGGGCAGACUUGAGUACUGCAGGGGAGACUGGAAUUCCUGGUGUAGCGGUGGAAUGCGCAGAUAUCAGGAGGAACACCGGUGGCGAAGGCGGGUCUCUGGGCAGUUCCUGACACUGAGGCACGAAGGCUAGGGGAGCGAACGGG